rnacentral:rRNA from 1 species
GACGAACGUUGGCGGCGUGCCUAAUACAUGCAAGUCAACUGAAAUACCGGUAGCAAUACUGGUAUGGAGGUGGCGCACGGGUGAGUAACACGUAGGUAAUCUGCCUUCAGGUCUGACAUAACCCAUCGAAGGUAGAGCUAAUAUCAGAUGAUGCAGCGGCUUGACAUCAAGACAGUUGUUAAAGCUUCGGCGCCUGAAGAUGAGCCUGCGUCUGAUUAGCUAG